AUUGAACGCUGGCGGCAGGCCUAACACAUGCAAGUCGAGCGAGCGGCGGACGGGUGAGUAAUGUCUGGGAAACUGCCUGAUGGAUGGGGAUAACUACUGGACACGGUAGAUAAUAACGCAUACCAUCAGAUGUGCACAGAUGGGAUUAGAUAGUAGGUGGGGUAACGGCUCACCUAGGCGACGAUCCCUAGCUGGUCUGAGAGGAUUACCAUCCACACUGGACCUGAGACACGCUCCGUACUCCUACGGGAGGCAGCAGUGGUGAAGAUUGCACAAUGGGCGCCAGCCUGAUGCAGCCAUGCCGCGUGUGUGAAGAAGGCCUUCGGGUUGUAAAGCACUGUCAGCGGGGAGGCGUUACCCGCAGAAGAAGCACCGGCUAACUCCGUGCCAGCAGCCGCGGUAAUUC
rnacentral:rRNA from 1 species